AUAUUAUUAAGCGGAGGAAAAGGAACCAACAGGGAUUCCCUGAGUAACGGCGAGUGAAAGGGGAGAAGCUCAAGAUUGAAUCGGGUGACCCUCGCGGGCACUUGAGUUGUAAUCUAUAGGUAACUUGGUUAUACCUCGUGGACUUGGCAUAAACCUUUGAAAAAGGU
rnacentral:rRNA from 1 species